rnacentral:rRNA from 1 species
AACGCGAAGAACCUUACCUACCCUUGACAUCCUGCGAAUCCCGAUGAGAGUUGGGAGUGCCGAAAGGAGCGCAGAGACAGGUGCUGCAUGGCUGUCGUCAGCUCGUGUCGUGAGAUGUUGGGUUAAGUCCCGCAACGAGCGCAACCCUUGUCCUGUGUUGCCAUACCGAAAGGUGGAACUCGCAGGAGACCGCCAGGGAUAACCUGGAGGAAGGUGGGGAUGACGUCAAGUCCUCAUGGCCUUUAUGUCCAGGGCUACACACGUGCUACAAUGGACGGUACAAAGGGCUGCCAACCCGCGAGGGGGAGCCAAUCCCAAAAAACCGUUCUCAGUUCGGAUUGCAGGCUGCAACUCGCCUGCAUGAAGCUGGAAUCGCUAGUAAUGGCGGAUCAGAACGCCGCCGUGAAUACGUUCCCGGGCCUUGUACACACCGAGUAUA